rnacentral:piRNA from 1 species
UAUACUCUGAGAAAGCAAAAUUU